GAAACAGUAUUUUAAAUCCAUACCGCAUAAAGUGUUGCAUUCUAUUUCCAAUAAAGUGUAGCGUAAGCCUUAACGAAUCGACGCGUAAAUUUUUUGGGAAUAGAAUUUAUUAAAACAAAAAUACAAAAAAUAUAAUAUAGUUUACACACACAAAAAAUGACAAACUACAGUAAACCCCCCAACCUAUAAGGUCAUUUACGAGUGCAUACCCGAUUUUGGGGACAUUUAUGAGUACAUACUCAACGUCGCAAAAAACCUACAAUUUGCCCCCUCCGUUAACGAGAUCUUCAGAAAAUCUAUUAUCUGCCUACGUGGCAUUUGUGGGACCCUUUUUUUAAUUGACGUGGACUCCACAUAAAACAUAAAAUUAAUAAAAUAAAUGAAAAAACAAUAUAUAAAAAAUCUAAAAACCCAAAAAAAAAAAAAAACUUAUCUUCUCUCUCUCUCUCUCUCUCUCUCUGGGUUGAUCUGGGCCAACGUUUGGCCAACGUCUUCGUCAAAGUUGGAAUUGAGUCUCUUCUCUUGUUCGUCCCCUUCGUCUACAAGUUCUUGUUCAUCGACGAAGACCCAUUGCCUUUCCCGAUUGCCCAUCGCACCUCCCGAUCGCCCCGAAAUCUCUCAGCCCUACCUGGGUUUUCGACAUCGACCAAGCCCCAUACCCAGAUCUGUUGCGUGCCUCUAUAGCUUCCUCCAGAUCUGUUAUGUGCCUUUGUAAGUUCCACCUCCGUUAUUAAAUAUUUCUCUCACUUGAAUUUGUUGUUGGGUUUAAAGAGAUUGAGAUUUAAUAAAAGAGUAACAAUGAGGUCCUAACAUUUUAGUUCAACCAUUUGGACUAAUAUGGAGGUAUCAAAAUCACACCCUUGAAAAAAUAGACUCGGAAAUGAGCAGGGCCUUUGGCGGGCAUUUGGGAAAGUCGGGCCAAUCGGGUGUCUUCAUUCAAGCAAUACAGAUCUGCAAUUCUAUUUGUGCUUUCAGCAAAUAGGCGAUGCGAAUCUAUGGUUUCUAUCAAUCUGAAACCAUACCAAUUGUUUUUCAAAACGUGACCAAGUUCUCGAAGUCUAAAGUUGCAGGAGUUGGGGAUUUGAGGGUUGGGCUGUGUUGGUGUUUGGAUGUGGUCACCAAAUUCAAGCCAAGCCAAGUGGUUUUAAUUUCAAACCAAGUCAAGUGGAAACCCAAAGGCCUAGCCAAAACAAAAGAGAUUGUUAUUUAUAAUAGCAAUAGUCAAAUAAUGAAUUGAAUGGCAAGAUCUACAAUGACAGCUAGAAUGGUGAAAGAGAAAUUGCUUACCUGAGUUGAGCUUUUAGCAAGAUGGUUGCUGAAUUUCCAGAAAUGAAUAGUUAGCUGGAUAGUUGUUGAAAUAAAUAGUUGGCUGAAGUUUUGGAGUUGUGGGUGUGGGAACAGACCAUAAAGAUCUUUGUACAAAUGCAAGGCCAAGGUUGGCCCACGUCCCUUGGUUGAAAAAUGGAAUGCUGAAGGCCAACUUUAUGCAUGUUGGUUUGUAGCUUCGGACAAUUCAUAUAUAAUAUAUAUAUAUAUAUAUAUAUUAUAUCCUUUGGUUGAAAAGUUGGCAAAAUGCCAACUUUAUGAUAUCAUAUAUUAUAUUAUAUAUAUGUGAUAGGCCAAUUUCGACUUGGCUGGGAGAGUGAAGGAGGAGUUGGCUGGAGCUUUGGCAGCUGGUCUUGGAGUAGGAUGAUCUUAUGUUGGCUAGAUGGAAUGGAAGUGUUGGCUAAUUUGGGGUCAAUAGAAGUUUUAGUGCGAGUGAAGUUGGGCUCUGUGUGGUUGAGACUUUAUUUAUUAUUUUUGUUUAUUAGGUUGUUCAAAG
rnacentral:lncRNA from 1 species